rnacentral:rRNA from 1 species
AGUGAACGCUGGCGGCGUGCCUAAUACAUGCAAGUCGAACGGAGUGGCGCACGGGUGAGUAAUGUCUAGCUAAUCUGCCCUACACUAGAGGACAAAAGUUGGAAACGGCUGCUAAUACUCUAUAGUGUAGGAUGAGGCUAUAUUGUAUCAGCUAGUUGGUGAUGUAAUGGAUCACAAAGGCUAUGACGCAUAACUGGUCUGAGAGGAUGAUCAGUGACACUGGAACUGAGACACGGUCCAGACUCCUACGGGAGGCAGCAGUAGGUAAUAUUGCGCAAUGGGGGAAACCCUGAAGCAUCAACGCCGCGUGGAGGAGUACACUUUUCGGAGCGUAAACUCCUUUUUUUAGGGAAGCGGUACCUAACGAAUAAGCACCGGCUAACUCCGUGCCAGAAGCCGCGGUAAUAC